rnacentral:lncRNA from 1 species
GCCAAGGAUGCUGGUAUCUGCAUAAACUUCAGUACAUAAUAAUCCCCUUACUACUCAGCAUGUUUUUUCGCUUUCAAACACACACACACACACACACAAAAUUGUUCUGCAACUAUGCAUGAAACGGCAAAACAUUCGGGACGAGGAUGCAGAAUGUUUCGAUUACUAGCGAAAAUAGUUUUGGUCUGCCAAAAAGUUUUAGAGCGAGUCAUGUGCAAGUUUAGUGGCUAUCGAGGAUGAUAGUUUGGGUUCUCCCACACCCUUCCACAUGUGGCAGUUGGCAGUUUGACUUUAGUCAAGUCUAGUACAGGGCGUGGCAGCUACUGUUGCUGAUCUCUGCCUUCAUG